AUGGAAGGCACACACACGGUGCUGCGUCUGUACAAACCCAUCCGGGAGCUGAGCUUCAUCCGUCUCUACUUCCCAACGAGGAAGUCCCGAGGUUUCCCACGAGCUGACCAAACCCCUCGUGAAGUCCGGCCUCGUGAUGAAGACGCUAAACAAAGAGCAAAAGCAUUGGUCACACAGCUGACCACAGAACACCAUCAGCUGCUCACGCUCCUCUUGUCUUUAUGCAGCGACUGCACACACAGGAUUAGGACGGACAUCCAGGACGGGAAGCUCCCGGAAGGAUACAGGGAACGUCUCGGAGGUGAUGUCAGCCGGUCCCCAGAGCAUGAGACAGCAGCUUCACGAGGUCAUGAACUGAAGAACCUGGGUUCUAGGAAGAUGGACAGUGCUGAAGAGUUCAUGAAGAGUCAGAUAAAGAAGAAAGUGCGACGUGGAGCAUCUGAGUUUUCUCCGAAUACUUCAUAUAUCAGCGUCUCCAGCGAGUGUUUUCUUCCAAUGGAGGAGCACUUCCAGAUCGCCAACGACGGAUGGGAUUUUAUGGAAGAACUUCAUUCUUUUGAACCUGAGAUGGAUCCGUCGGAGAUUGAUAACCAGCUCACUUUGGAUUACGAUCAAGCUCUGGGAGAUGGGAAUAUUGGGGGAAACCAACGAGGUCAAUCCACCUUCGGAAGUUUGGAAACCAAUCCAAGAGAUGUGGGAAGUGGUGAUGUGGCUACAAAACAAAGCCAUACGGCUUCCGAAGAGAAACUUGUUUCUGGUUCCAGGCUGGAUGUGGAUCACUGCAGCGAAGAGAUGAAGCUUGUUACUCGAGGGAACACGGAGUCAAACUUCUCACCCUCUAAACUUCAUCCCUGGAGCAGAAGCCCUGCAUCCAUCUCUCUGUCUGGGGUCUUCAACAUGUCUUAUCCUCCUGCCAACAGUCUCCAGAGCAUGUCUCCUGUCUUAUCUCCUCGCUCUUCUCUCCCAUCCAGUUCCCAAAUGAGCCAGCGGAUUGUGUUGCUGCCUGAGGAGGAUGGAAAUAAACGCUCCUCGAGACACGAGGUCUCCACAGAGGUCACCGACAAAAACGGCAACCAUCGGACGCUCAGACGGUUAGACCUGGACCUCGGAGAUCAUUUCUGUCUGAAUGAAGCCAGUACAUCGACCUCAGAAAAAUCUCGUCCGGAGGAUAUCUGGAUGCUGGAUGCGGAUGAAUCCAUUACCCAGGAGGCUUUGCGGCGUCCCAGCAGACCGGAUCACCUGGACUUCCUGAGAAUCACUCCGCCGGAGGACGACAUCAUCGGAGACUCUCCGUACAAUCCCAAACUCGGAGCGACGGUGAGUCAGUCAGCGCUACGGUGA
rnacentral:lncRNA from 1 species